CCUACGGGAGACUGCAGUGAGGAAUAUUGGUCAAUGGACGAGAGUCUGAACCAGCCAAGUAGCGUGAAGGAUGACUGCCCUAUGUGUUGUAAACUUCUUUUAUAUGGGAAUAAAAUGUUCCACGUGUGGGCUUUUGUAUGUACCUUAUGAAUAAGGAUCGGCUAACUCCGUGCCAGCAGCCGCGGUAAUACGGAGGAUCCGAGCGUUAUCCGGAUUUAUUGGGUUUAAAGGGAGCGUAGGUGGAUUGUUAAGUCAGUUGUGAAAGUUUGCGGCUCAACCGUAAAAUUGCCGUUGAAACUGGCAGUCUUGAGUACAGUAGAGGUAGGCGGAAUGCGUGGUGUAGCGGUGAAAUGCUUAGAUAUCACGCAGAACUCCGAUUGCGAAGGCAGCGUACCGGCGCCCAACUGACGCUGAAGCACGAAGGCGUGGGUAUCGAACAGGAUUAGAUACCCCUGUAGUC
rnacentral:rRNA from 1 species